UCCGUAGGUGGAUAAUUAAGUCAGAGGUGAAAUCCUGCAGCUCAACUGUAGAAUUGCCUUUGAUACUGGUUAUCUUGAGUCAUUAUGAAGUGGUUAGAAUGUGUAGUGUAGCGGUAAAAUGCAUAGAUAUUACACAGAAUACCGAUUGCGAAGGCAGAUCACUAAUAAUGUACUGACACUGAGGGACGAAAGCGUGGGGAGCGAACAGGAUUAGAUACCCUGGUAGUCC
rnacentral:rRNA from 1 species